UACGUAGGGUGCGAGCGUUAAUCGGAAUUACUGGGCGUAAAGCGUGCGCAGGCGGUUUUGUAAGCCAGGUGUGAAAUCCCCGGGCUCAACCUGGGAAUGGCAUUUGGGACUGCAAGGCUGGAGUGCGGCAGAGGAGACUGGAAUUCCUGGUGUAGCAGUGAAAUGCGUAGAUAUCAGGAGGAACACCGAUGGCGAAGGCAGGUCUCUGGGCUGACACUGACGCUCAUGCACGAAAGCGUGGGGAGCGAAACAAG
rnacentral:rRNA from 1 species